AUGGCAUGAUGGUGAGUGCCCUUUGUUCUUCAUACACACUAAAAGUGGAACACUUGGAAGCGGAGAUUCUUGGUCAGAGUCUGUGGGUACGAUUUCACAGAUACCAGCAAGAAAAAAGAAAAGAAAGGAGUCCCUGAGUUCAAGCCCCAGUACCAGCACACGCGCGCGCGCACACACACACACACACACACACACAGAGCUCUGUUGUAUUUUCUUUGGAGACCUUUCUGUGCUGCCAGUUGGCUUUGUACUCACCAAAGCCCCCUCCAGCUCUGAAACUCUGAUACUAGAUUAUUACUGCUUCUAACUUAAUUUCUUUUUCUUUACUGUUUUUUUUAUUUCCAGUAGACUCUGGUGUUUUCUUCUGUACCUAUUUGUUGUACAAGUUGCCUCUGAAUGUAUGUAGCAUAUGUUUAAGAAAUACAUGAAUAUGGAUGCAAGCAGGGUGAGGGCUGUAAAUGUGAAAUGUAGAACCUAUAUAGACUGAAGUGUUUG